GCCUUGUGCUUUGUUGCUUUGCUGCACUGGACUGAUUAGGUGAUGAGAAUGGAUGGGACUAAGACGGCUCAACAAUUACCUUAUGGAAAUCUAAAGACAGCAAACCAUGAACCAGACACACAGAAAGACAAAAACGUUUCCAAGACACACCAGGAGGGUAACUUCAAAAAUAUUAGUACUAAUGUCAGUAUUGAGGAAAUUACUGCAACCAUAUAGAACUUUCACUUAUUUUGAGCAGCUCUGUCAUCAUGCUGACCAUGGGAUCCAAUCAAUGGCAUGUGACAAAGAAUUUGAAUUUUCAGUGGAGACUGUGAGGUUUAAGACUGUAAAGGACACAUGAACCACCGCUGAACCACAGAUCUCAAAGCCCCUGCUUUAGGACUACGGUUUCAAGAGAUCACAUUCUAUGCAAAGAGUGCAAGUAGCUGGGUGCAUUGUUACAUCAUCACAUGAUCACUUGCACACCUGCCAGCUCUUCUGUACAGACAAGUGGUUACUUCUUCACUCAGGAAGAAUUGCCAGACCAUGGUUUCUUCUGCCAGUUCAAUUCCUAUAAUUUUAGUCGUGAUAGUCUUCCAGGAAUGCUUUUCUCCUUAAUUUCUGAUACCUACAUAAAUGAGAAUUUGAAUUCCUUAUCACCAUCCUGAUUUCAGACCUG
rnacentral:lncRNA from 10 species